rfam:Tupaia belangeri cont1.741688, whole genome shotgun sequence.
CUCUGGCCCGUGGGGCAUCAGGAGGUCUCCCAUGUGGGAGACCAGACACCUGUUUAAUAUUUAAACAGCAGUGUUCCCC